rnacentral:rRNA from 1 species
GUGGGGAAUCUUGCGCAAUGGGCGAAAGCCUGACGCAGCCAUGCCGCGUGAAUGAUGAAGGUCUUAGGAUUGUAAAAUUCUUUCACCGGGGACGAUAAUGACGGUACCCGGAGAAGAAGCUCCGGCUAACUUCGUGCCAGCAGCCGCGGUAAUACGAAGGGGGCUAGCGUUGCUCGGAAUUACUGGGCGUCAAGGGCGCGUAGGCGGACAGCUUAGUCAGAGGUGAAAGCCCAGGGCUCAACCUUGGAAUGGCCUUGGAUACUGGCUGUCUUGAGUUUGGGAGAGGUGAGUGGAACUCCGAGUGUAGAGGUGAAAUUCGUAGAUAUUCGGAAGAACACCAGUGGCGAAGGCGACUCACUGGCCCAAUACUGACGCUGAGGCGCGAAAGCGUGGGGAGCAAACAGGAUUAGAAACCCCAGUAGUCC